rnacentral:tRNA from 1 species
GAAGGUAUAGCUCAGUGGUAAAGCACCUGCUUAGCAUGCACAAGGUCCUGGGUUCAAUCCUCGGUACCUCCA